rnacentral:rRNA from 1 species
AAUAGUCCCGGGAAACUGGGUUUAAUACCGUAUACGCCCUUCGGGGGAAAGAAUUUCGGUGAAGGAUCGGCCCGCGUUAGAUUAGAUAGUUGGUGGGGUAAUGGCCUACCAAGUCUACGAUCUAUAGCUGGUUUUAGAGGAUGAUCAGCAACACUGGGACUGAGACACGGCCCAGACUCCUACGGGAGGCAGCAGUGGGGAAUCUUAUACAAUGGGCGCAAGCCUGAUCUAGCCAUGCCGCGUGAGUGAUGAAGGCCUUAGGGUCGUAAAGCUCUUUCGCCAGGGAUGAUAAUGACAGUACCUGGUAAAGAAACCCCGGCUAACUCCGUGCCAGCAGCCGCGGUAAUACGGAGGGGGUUAGCGUUGUUCGGAAUUACUGGGCGUAAAGCGCGCGUAGGCGGAUUAAAAAGUUGGGGGUGAAAUCCCAGGGCUCAACCCUGGAACUGCCUCCAAAACUACUAGUCUAGAGUUCGAGAGAGGUGAGUGGAACUCCGAGUGUAGAGGUGAAAUUCGUAGAUAUUCGGAAGAACACC